CCUACGGGUGGCAGCAGUGGGGAAUAUUGCACAAUGGGGGAUACCCUGAUGCAGCAAAGCAGCGUGAGUGAUGACUGCCUUCGGGUUGGAAAGCUCCGUCUUCAGGGGCGUUAAUGACGGUACGUGAGGAGGAAGCCACGGCUAACUACGUGCCGGCGGCCGCGGUAAUACGUGGGUGGCGAGCGUUGUCCGGAUUUACUGGGCGUAAAGGGAGCGUAGGCGGACUUUUAAGUGAGAUGUGGAAUACUCGGGCUCAACCUGAGUGCUUCAUUUCAUACUGGAAGUCUAGAGUGCAGGAGAGGAGAAUGGAAUUCCUAGUGUAGCGGUGAAAUGCGUAGAGAUUAGGAAGAACACCAGUGGCGAAGGCGAUUCUCUGGACUGUAACUGACGCUGAGGCUCGAAAGCGUGGGGAGCAAACAGGAUUAGAUACCCCUGUAGUC
rnacentral:rRNA from 1 species